AUUGAACGCUGGCGGCAGGCCUAACACAUGCAAGUCGAGCGGAUGAAGGGAGCUUGCUCCUGGAUUCAGCGGCGGACGGGUGAGUAAUGCCUAGGAAUCUGCCUGGUCGUGGGGGAUAACGUCCGGAAACGGGCGCUAAUACCGCAUACGUCCUGAGGGAGAAAGUGGGGGAUCUUCGGACCUCACGCUAUCAGCUGAGCCUAGGUCGGAUUAGCUAGUUGGUGGGGUAAAGGCCUACCAAGGCGACGAUCCGUAACUGGUCUGAGAGGAUGAUCAGUCACACUGGAACUGAGACACGGUCCAGACUCCUACGGGAGGCAGCAGUGGGGAAUAUUGGGCAAUGGGCGAAAGCCUGAUCCAGCCAUGCCGCGUGUGUGAAGAAGGUCUUCGGAUUGUAAAGCACUUUAAGUUGGGAGGAAGGGCAGUAAGUGAAUACCUUGCUGUUUUGACGGUACCAACAGAAUAAGCACCGGCUAACUACGUG
rnacentral:rRNA from 1 species